rnacentral:rRNA from 1 species
AAUGAACGCUGGCGGCAUGCCUUACACAUGCAAGUCGAACGGCAGCAUGAUCUAACUUGCCAGUUUCAUGUCGCGUGUCGCGCGGGUGAGUAAUGCAUCUGGACGUGCCUUUUUUUGGGGGAUAACGUAUCGAAAGUUACACUCAUACCCCGUAUUCUCUGUAGGGGAAAGCACAGGGCCUCCUGGCCUUUCGCUAGAUGAGCUGCGGAUGUCGGAUUAGCUAGUUGGUGAGGUAAAGGCUCACCAAGGCGACGAUCUGUAGCGGGUCUGAGAGGAUGAUCAGCCACACUGGAACUGAGACACGGCCCAGACUCCUACGGGAGGCAGCAGUGGGGAAUAUUGGACAAAGGGCGCAAGCCUGAUCCAGCCAUGCCGCGUGAGUGAAGAAGGCCUUCGGGUUGUAAAGCUCUUUCGGCUGGGAAGAAAUCGCGCUCUCUAAUACAGGGUGUGGAUGACGGUACCAGCAGAAGAAGCACCGGCUAACUACGUG